rnacentral:rRNA from 1 species
GUAGGGUGCGAGCGUUAAUCGGAAUUACUGGGCGUAAAGCGUGCGCAGGCGGUUAUAUAAGUCAGACGUGAAAUCCCCGGGCUCAACCUGGGAACUGCGUUUGAGACUGUAUGACUAGAGGAUGGCAGAGGGGGGUAGAAUUCCACGUGUAGCAGUGAAAUGCGUAGAGAUGUGGAGGAAUACCGAUGGCGAAGGCAGCCCCCUGGGCUAUUACUGACGCUCAUGCACGAAAGCGUGGGGAGCAAAC